rnacentral:rRNA from 1 species
UAGGGAAUCUUCGGCAAUGGACGAAAGUCUGACCGAGCAACGCCGCGUGAGUGAAGAAGGUUUUCGGAUCGUAAAACUCUGUUGUUAGAGAAGAACAAGGACGUUGGUAACUGAACGUCCCCUGACGGUAUCUAACUAGAAAGCCACGGCUAACUACGUGCCAGCAGCCGCGGUAAUACGUAGGUGGCAAGCGUUGUCCGGAUUUGUUGGGCGUAAAGCGAGCGCAGGCGGUUUCUUAAGUCUGGUGUGAAAGCCCCCGGCUCAACCGGGGAGGGUCAUUGGAAACUGGGAGACUUGAGUGCAGAAGAGGAGAGUGGAAUUCCAUGUGUAGCGGUGAAAUGCGUAGAUAUAUGGAGGAACACCAGUGGCGAAGGCGGCUCUCUGGUCUGUAACUGACGCUGAGGCUCGAAAGCGUGGGGAGCAAACAGG